rnacentral:misc_RNA from 1 species
ACACCUCAACUCUCAUGGUCCGCCAUGAUGAGCUUGGACUUUGGGGGUCUUGCUGGCCUAACCGUCGGCUCCUCUCAAAUGAAUCAGCUUGCCAGUGUUUGGUGGCAUCACGGGUGUGAUAACUAUCUACGCCUGCGCUCUUCCACCAGGUAACCUUCAGUGAUGGAGGUUCGCUGGAGCUCACAGACGUCCUCUUCCCAUGGAGGACAGCUUUUGAAC